GCCACUGCACAGUGGCAGAAUCAUAGCCCAUGAGGUUUAACUGAGGUGUGAUUACUGCUAGUUGCAACCUUACUUCUGCCACCAUUAACCCUGCUCCAUUUUCUGGGGAUCUUUCCUUACCCCAGGUGCACAUCUCUUGCAAAAACUUGCAAGUU
rnacentral:snRNA from 1 species